rnacentral:misc_RNA from 1 species
UAUGUGAAUUGCAGAAUUCAGUGAAUCAUCGAAUCUUUGAACGCACAUUGCGCCCUCUGGCAUUCCUCAGGGCAUGCCUGUUCGAGCGUCAAUAGAAACCCCCCCUCACCCUCCCGGUGGUACUGGGGGAGGUGGGU